UCUCCCUCUUGAAGCACAAGGUUCAGACUCUGCAGACCGAAGCUACCACCUUGUCUGCUCAGCUAACACUUUUACAGAGAGAUUCCGUUGGGCUCACAAAUCAGAACAAUGAGUUGAAGUUUCGUCUUCAAGCCAUGGAGCAACA